rnacentral:lncRNA from 1 species
CUCAUCUUCAUCAUGUAUUGCUCUUUCUGUCUUUCUAGAAGCAGUCAGUUACAAUGUAAAAAGACAGAUUGAAGGUGUCAAUCAGAGGACAGAGAAAUGCCUUAUACACCUGACUGAGGAAGAAGAGAUAAUCAUUAGGAGACAGUUGUCUAAUAGCAUGCAUCCAAGAAGCUUUGGACGAAGGACUUCCACAGAGCCGCCACCCUCAAAAAGACAAUAGUUCUGUACUGGGUUUGAUUUAGUUUUUGUUGUUUUAAAUAUUUACAUUUUGUAAAUGAACUUUUAAUCUCGUCUUCACAAGAAUGUUUAUGAUUUCAAGUUGUAUUGGAUUUAUUUUUUAUCUGAUAAGACAUUGAAUGCAGUACAUGUUGUUUAGUAUAUUUAGUACAUUAAGUAUGUUUAGUUCUCUGUGAGAAGCAAGUUCAUUUAAAGUUAAAUGUGAUUUGGUUCAUGUAGAUACAACAUGUCAAUGUUGUUAAUACCCAGAAACUUGAUUUUAAUCUGCAUAUUCAUACUGAAUUUGCCACAACUAUUUGCCAGAAGCCUGUUUUUUCGGUAAGGGUAGGGUUUGUUUUGAAUUAUUUAAAUUUCUAUUCCUAUAUUUCCAGUAUAGCUAGGAUGUCUGUCUGAAUAGUGACAAGAUCAGCCUGAAAGUCUGAAUUUGCAUUUGUUGAAUUGUUGGGGAUAAUAUUGAAUUGGGAAUUUAAUUAUUGGAAUUAUCUAACAUUGGAAUUCAAAGGAACUGAAUUACUGUACAUCUGAAUUCAAAGACUGACCUGGAAUUUGAAUUGAAUUAAAUGGAAUUUACAGGGAGAGAGAAUUUAAUUAUAAUUUAAUUAGUGGAAUUGACCCCGACCCUGGUGUUAGGUUUAUCCCUAAACGUCCUUUGCCACCAGUUUAAACAAAUCAUAAAUUCAUCUAAUUUGCAUGUCUGGUUACUGAGGUUAAACAAUUUCCCUCAAGGGUACAACACCAGUACUCCAACCCAGAAUCUCUACUCCUCUCAGUUACAUUCUGAGCCUAAUCUUUGCCCUCCAGUCAAGACCACCCCACUUCUGAUGCAAUAGGGGUUCAAUCUGUCCUCUCAUGGCACUGGCUUGCGAGAUAACUGAUGGCUGAACUGAUGGAGCUCAUUGGAUUGCAUAGGAUUGUGUCUAUCAUGUGUUGGAUAUUAGGGCAGCCUGGCAAGAGGUGAGGGUGCCAGCUGUUGGGUCUUGUGAUCCUGAUUAGAUUGUUGUUUCAGUGUUGAUUGUGUCUAGGAGCAGAGGUGACCUGGGGCUGGGGAGGGAAAAGAUGAUCACCCUUGUGAUCACCCUCCUUUCGCACCCAAACACCUCGCGGAGCUCAACCGUUCGCCAGCUGAUCUUUUGAAGGAUCUCUCUCUCUUUCUGUCUGCAUUGCCUCUCUUUUAACGUCUUGUGUGUCCUUGGUGGUACCUCUCUUUCCCUCUCCUCUCCCCUUUCUGUUUGUAUCUGUCCCUUUUUCUGUCUCUCUCUCGUUUUCUCUUUUUCUCUCUCUCUGCUAUAAGUUAAAGGAGUGAAGGAGUGUUUUAUGCAUCAGUCAUGCUUCAGUACCAGUGAGUGAUUAAAGGAAAGUAUAUGGGCCACAUUGUGAAGUUACAAAGUGGGUGUGAUUCUCCACUUCAACUGCCAGCUUCAAUUCAUUUCUGCAGAGUUGAUUUGGACUGAAAUGACACUUUGUGUGUUGGUUGGUCAGUUUCCAGAAUUGGUUUUGAUUAAGUAAGUACCCAAUGAUGGGGCACAUAGCAAUCUAAUAGUGCUUGUAAUGAAAGUGCAUUUCAAAAGUUAAGGGAUGGCAAAAUGAGUAUGAUGGUGUGUGUGGAGGCUAUAACAUUAAGUGUAACCUAACAAGAAAAUAGUCACAUUGGGUAUAGGAAUAAUAACAAUGUUUGCCUCAGCAUAUUAUGCUGGCGUUGUGAUCUGGUGAGCAGAGGACAAAAUAGGAAAUGUUGAGUUUGUAAAAGAUGUUGUCAAACCUGAUUUUGUUUCCGUCAAAUUGAGUUAGUGAGUGACUAAGCAGAAAAUAUAUAUAUAUUUUUUUUAACUAUAUUUUGGUAUUUUGUUAAUUAGUCCGAUGUUGAAAAACGCAUCAUCAUGUUGUGGCAAAUGACACUUUGCUUCUUGAAAGUCCAAUGUCUUAAACUUGACUACUGACAUGGAAAACAUUUUGUGGGCUAAUAAAAAAAUACCAAAAGAUUGUUUUUUUGUGGAUUUUUCCAUUAACCUUUAGGAUGAGUUGUUGCAAUUUGCUGCCAAAAGCUGCCCAACUGAUCCUUCGCUAAACCCC